AGUGAACGCUGGCGGUAGGCCUAACACAUGCAAGUCGAACGGCAGCACAGAGGAGCUUGCUCCUUGGGUGGCGAGUGGCGGACGGGUGAGGAAUACAUCGGAAUCUACUCUGUCGAGGGGGAUAACGUAGGGAAACUUACGCUAAUACCGCAUACGACCUACGGGUGAAAGCAGGGGAGCCUCGGGCCGUGCCCGAUUGAAUGAGCCGAUGUCGGAUGAGCUAGUUGGCGGGGUAAAGGCCCACCAAGGCGACGAUCCGUAGCUGGUCUGAGAGGAUGAUCAGCCACACUGGAACUGAGACACGGUCCAGACUCCUACAGGAGGCAGCAGUGGGGAAUAUUGGACAAUGGGCGCAAGCCUGAUCCAGCCAUACCGCGUGGGUGAAGAAGGCCUUCGGGUUGUAAAGCCCUUUUGUUGGGAAAGAAAUCCAGCUGGCUAAUACCCGGUUGGGAUGACGGUACCCAAAGAAUAAGCACCGGCUAACUUCGUGCCAGCAGCCGCGGUAA
rnacentral:rRNA from 1 species